ACCCUGAACUCUCAUUUCACAGACGAAACCCCAUUCUCAAAAUGAGCGUUUCAUCCCGCACCAGAUCCAAACUAAAGGAAGAAGAAGAAAAAUCAAAGCAAGAAGAAGCAAUAUUUCUGUGGCGAAAGCUUCCCGAAGGAUUAUCUGAUGAAAUCUUCUUGAAAUUACCAGGGAAUUCAAUCUUGUCAUCGAGGUCAGUCUGUAAGCUUUUCAAUACUCGUCUUUCUGAACCUAUUUUUAUCAAGAAUCAUGUUAAUCUUUCUAUUCAGAGCAAGAACAGCAAACCCAAACUCUUGUUUAGACGUCAAUCCAUGUUUAAUUCUUCUGAGAUUUACUCUCUACCUGUAGAUAAUGCUUCAAUUUGAUCAUCAUCAUCAUUAUCAUCCUCUUCGUCAAGGGUUGUAUGUGAUGGAGCUGUUCUGAUGAAUUACCCAUUCGAAUCUAACAAAACUUAUCGGCACAGUUUUUUGGGUUCCUGUAAUGGUUUAAUUUGCUUAAAGAUUUGUAGGACUGAUAGAGUUGAUUAUGAGAGGGGACAUGUGGAGACUAAUUAUUUUAGUAUUUUGAACCCGUUUACAAGACAAUUUAAGGAAUUUAGUAUGCAAACUGUGAAUAAAUUUUGGUUACGGCAUAGCCUAUGGAUUUGGUUAUGAUUUCGACAUUGAUGAUUACAAACUAAUAGCAAUUUCGGAUAAUGUAGCUACUGGUUGCUCCGAUAUUGAAAUUUGUACAGUGAGAUCAGGUUUACGGAGUAGUACUCAGGGCAAUGUCAAGUACUCAUUUUACGAUGGUGUAAAAUCUCAUGCCGUGUUUUUAAGUGGCUGUCUUCAUUGGUUGGGAUCUAUUGCCACCCAGGCUGAAGCUGUAUUGUGUUUUGAUAUUAGGAAUGGGAUAAUGGGGUAUAUCCCAUUACCCCAAAAUAUUAUACCCCCUACAGAUUUUUCUGGAGAUGUUGAUAAAAAUGUGGGAGUGUUGGGAGACAGCAUUUGUGUAGGCUUUAUUUGGGAUUCUGUUAGACUUGAUGUGUGGGUGACGCAACAGUAUGGAGUAAUGGAAUCUUGGAUCAAAAAAUUUACCAUGACCCAACUACCGUGCUUGCUCCUAUGGCCAUGGAAACCGCUAUUGUGUUUCGACGACGGGAAAAUUCUCGUAGAUUAUUAUUGCAACCAAUUACUUUUAUUUGAUCCAACAAAUGAAACAGUUCGAUCAGUGGUGGUUCGUGAUAUCGCUAUGGACGACAAUCGAGAGAGUUAUGUGGAGACCAUAGCCUCCCUUGGCUCAAGUACUUUUCUGGAAAGGAAGAUUACAGAUGAGACUAUGAAGAAUCCCAAGCUACGACGACGAUUGAGGUAGUUUUGGAGCAGCAAAAGGAAAAACAGCAAGAGCUGCAGAUGAACAACAGGCUGAAGCACUAGCUAUGUUGGAGGCUGUGGAAUGGGGAAUUGCAAAAGGUAUACAAAUGCUCCACCUGCAAACUGACAGCAAAAAUAUAGCUGAUGCAAUCAACGGUUCAAGUAGUUAAAUAAAUCCAGGAGUGUCUAUCUAGAUUAGUAUUAUUAAAGGAUUGGAAAUGUAAGUCUGUCAAGCGUGAAGCAAAUGCUUGUGCAGACACUUCUGCUAAGCAUGCUAGAAAAGAACUAGUAGUAAAUGUUGAAUGGUUCUGUCCUCCAGUAUUCUUACUGAAUGAUUUCUAGAAGGUUCAGGGUUCAGGGUUCACUCUGUUAUGUUUAUGAUUAUCCAAUGCAAUUUACAUGUAGGUUUGGUAUGUCAAAAGGCACAGGAAUUAUGUAAUGAUUAUCCAAUGAUGAAAGUGUAUGCGAGGUAUGAUUAGCGGGCCUAGGUUCAGGGUUCUGGAUGCUCACUCUGUUAUGUUUAUGAUUAUCCAAUGCAAUUUACAUGUAGGUUUGGUAUGUCAAAAGGCACAGGAAUUAUGUAAUGAUCAA